CCAUAGCCCCGAUUGCAGUGGAAAUCCUUUAUUGCUUGCACUCCAAUGAAUACUUAUGACAAAUGGUAAAGCAAAAAAGAUUGCAACGGAAAGCGGGAUUUAGC
rnacentral:sRNA from 1 species